rnacentral:miRNA from 1 species
CACAUGCUCAUUGACUAAUGACG